GAUCACGAUUGACCAGUCCCGGGCCCGGACAGCGUGGGGCUGUCUUCUUUUUUGGUCCCUUGGCUAUGGCGGUUGUUAUGUUUUCGUUGCUACGAAACUAAAAUCGAGAGCUUAGAUGUCGAAUCUUUGUGCGGCAGUUGCGGGGCUAGGAAAACUCUGAACGAUCGUAAGACGUGGUUAAGCUAAAGAUUGUUUCUGACGCCGAAGGAUGUCGUGGAGUUUGAAUACAUUGGAUGCUGAACUGAGGUGAUUUAUAGUCAUUUACAGUCAUUUGCCUUUCGCGUUUGAGUUACUUCUCACUUGCAGGAUAAGUUAUCACUUGAGUUGAACAAGCUCAGAUUCGAGCUUCCAGCUGUGUAGAAGACUUGAAGCAGGAUCUGGGUAUUGGCAAAGGAAGUUGGACGUUGGAGUCAACUGCUGCAAAUAGGAAUUUGGAAAUCUGAAAACUCCCACAACUUGAUCAAAUCAAGAAUGAAUUUCAAGAUGUAAGAAAAAAUUUAAACAACUUGCAGCUACAACGCCCACAUUGGCUGAUCUGGUAUGCGUCUUGUGUUUCAUAACUUUGUUCCUUUAUCAUACUGAAAAUGUGUUGGGAACUUGGAGAACUGGACAGCGUAAUCCACAAACUCAGUAAUAUUCAAGGUUUAAAUUUGCGGUCCAAUUUUUGUUAAUCUUCAAAGUAAAAGUUAAUUUGAUAUAAUUAGAACUUUGUAAAAUAAGCUGUCCUGUCAACAUCCAAUUCCUUUUAUCCUAAACCAUUAAAACUGCUGUGCUUAUUUCUUGUUUCACAUGCUAAUUGGUUUUAUAUUUUAGAUAUUUGCGGAAACAAGGGUCGAGGUUGCCCGAGGUGUGAAUUUAACAUAGCCCUUAAGAGUCUGUUCCGCUGGUCCAAGUUUAUUCUACGAUGAACUCAAAUUUGAGUGCAUCCUCUUGUGGAGUAUCCUUAUCUUUCUCUAUUGAUGGAUUUGAAGCAAAGUUCAAAUUGAAGUUGGUUGAACGAUGAAUGUCGUCCUGUAGGCGUAAGCGAUUCAGAAAUGGACGUAAAGCAGAACGUGAUUCGCUCUGUCCACCAUUGAUGCAAGCACCUUCUAGCCUCGAUUCGAAAUCACGUAGACGAUGAAUUCUUUCUUCACACGCAUAAUGUCCAACCAUCAACGGCGACCCCAGUGCAUGAGGAUUGUAGCACGUCUUUGUGAAGUGAUUUGUUCAUUCUUUUGUUUCUGAUACUCAUGCACUGAAUUGACAUCGUCGCACGACUCCAACUAUUAACGUGUUUUUCUGCUUUCUGUCCAGGGUUACUCUGGUUGAUUGUCCAGUACAUGCCUGGAAGACUCCUAAUGCACAUUUCUACCCUGAGAAGACAUUUUUCAUUCUGAUAAACUCAUAGUUGAGAUUGGAGUCCAGGACCCCUUGUUAAAGCUCGCUUGGAGACAGAAGGGGGACCCCGUUGAGAUCAACUGCCUGUGCGGUGACGAUCACAAACGACAUGCCGGUCUCAAUUACAAAUAUCUGGACGGGCUUGUGUGAAGAGAUCUGUCUACAUGUUAUAGCAAGUUGCAAGUGUCAUUUGGCUUUUGGUUUGGAUUUCAUUUUACUCAUUUCAUUUCAAAAUUGUCGAUUCAGAAGGCUGUUUUCCAAUAAUCCACCGCAACAUGUUCGUUUGGCUGAUUGUCACAAUCAUCGACUUUUCGCUCGACCAAGGCCAUUACUGUGGUGCACAUCAGAGUCCCUCUAGGUUAAACAAUUUUUUUUCCUUUUAUGUUUAAUGAGCUAUCUAUUCUACUUUGA